GUGGCAUCGUGUGAACAUCAACUGCCGCCAUGCUUGCCGCCAAUUGUAUUUGAAAACAGUUCGCCAUAGUUCCAUAGUCUGCGGCCCAUAACUACUGACAAUUCGUCAACAUUUAAAGAGGAAACCGACCCGAAAUGGCCGGGACCUCUUUCUGUUUGGUGUCUGCGCUUGCGCAGCUGCGUGAAAAACAGACGAAGGCCACCAGGAACUUAGCGCCGAGAAUGAACGUACACUAGGUCAAGUUGAAGGUGUCUUGAACAAUCUAAGGACAGCUGCAAACUCCGUAGAGUGCGAGUUCGCCGUUCCAA
rnacentral:lncRNA from 1 species